rnacentral:rRNA from 1 species
AUUGAACGCUGGCGGCAUGCUUUACACAUGCAAGUCGAACGGCAGCGCGGGCUUCGGCCUGGCGGCGAGUGGCGAACGGGUGAGUAAUGCAUCGGAACGUGCCCAGUAGUGGGGGAUAGCCCGGCGAAAGCCGGAUUAAUACCGCAUACGACCUGAGGGUGAAAGCGGGGGACCGAAAGGCCUCGCGCUAUUUGAGCGGCCGAUGUCGGAUUAGCUAGUUGGUGGGGUAAAGGCUUACCAAGGCGACGAUCCGUAGCUGGUCUGAGAGGACGACCAGCCACACUGGGACUGAGACACGGCCCAGACUCCUACGGGAGGCAGCAGUGGGGAAUUUUGGACAAUGGGGGCAAUCCUGAUCCAGCCAUGCCGCGUGCGGGAAGAAGGCCUUCGGGUUGUAAACCGCUUUUGUUCGGGAAGAAAUCCUCUGGGCUAAUACCCCGGGGGGAUGACGGUACCGGAAGAAUAAGCACCGGCUAACUACGUG